UACGUAGGGGUCGAGCGUUGUCCGGAGUACUGGGCGUAAAGCGUGCGCAGGCGGCUCAUUGCGCCCGGCGUGAAAGCCCCCGGCUCAACCGGGGAGGGUCGUCGGGGACGGGUGAGCUUGAGGGUAUCAGGGGUUGGUGGAAUUCCCGGUGUAGUGGUGAAAUGCGUAGAGAUCGGGAGGAACACCCGUGGCGAAGGCGGCCAACUGGGAUACACCUGACGCUGAGGCACGAAGGCGUGGGGAGCGAACGGG
rnacentral:rRNA from 1 species